UGUGUCCAGCUGACACAGCUGACUGGAGGCAGUGGGAGUGACAGUAAGUCGACCAGGACUCGAGCCUACGUUCAGCCCAAUUUAGGUGGGGGUUGUGUAGAUGCAACCAGGGGAACCCGAGAACUAUGGAAGCAUGUCUAAUAGGAAACACGUAAAAGGUAAUACGUUCCCUAUGGUUUCCUGAGACCACUAGUUCAAAGGAUUUAGUCCGAUGGGUCACCUUAGGGAGGCUUCCUCCAUCUAGAGCGGACACCAGGAGCGGAGAUGGAAGGAGCUCUAACUCUAUUUUUGCCUGUCGGACGAGUGUGGGAUCAAAAAGGUUAAAAUCACAACCAGAAUCGAUCAAGGCUGAGAUCGGGAAAUUAAUUUGGGCUGAAAUAAUUGCUGCAGGCAAACAAAGUCGUGUGGAUAAAGACAUAGGGGAAACUUUUGGGUCCGCCGGCUUCCCUAUUAAAGACGGCGGACCUGGUCUUUUGGACGCUCGGGACAGGAUGCAAUAUAAUGAUCUGGGGAUGCACAAUAAAUGCACAAAUUCUGCUCUCGGCGUUGACUGCGCUCCUCGAGAGAGAGUCGCACCCGGCCAAUUUGCAUAGGCUCAGGCGGAGGCAGAGCGGGUACCGCGGAUCGAGCUGGAGUUAACGCUGGAGGCGGGACCAAGGGGCGCGGGGUGAUUCUGUCAAAGCGGGUCUGCCUUCUGCUCCUGAGACGACUGUCUAGUCGCGUUGUCAAGGCGACAAGUUCGUCAAGGGAUUCUGGCUCUUGUACGCGUGCCAGCUCGUCUUUAAGUGGUUCAUGUAGCGCUUGGAAGAAGGCAGCCUUAAGAGCGCGCGUCUCCCAGCCCGCUGCGGCAGCGAGAGUGCAGAACUCUAAAGCAAAGUCCGAGACUGGAUGCCCGCGUUGCUUAACGGCCCACAGGCGACGGGACAGCUCCGCCGGUUCAAUAUCGGCAGAAAAAACUGUCUUAAACUCUUGCACAAAAGUCUCAAAAGACUGGCCGUACUGCUGGCAAUUCGGAAAGCGGGCUUCAGCCCACCUGAGGGCUCUCCUGGUCAGUAGACCGAGGAUAAAAGAAAUCUUCGCAUCGUCAUGCGGAAAAGCGUGCAGGGAUCAGUUGAAAACUAAAGAACAUUGAAAAAGGAAACCACCGCAAUCUACUCCCUCACCGGACAACCUCUCCGGGCUGGGGAGGGAAACGUCGCAAGUCGCGGGGCUGUGUGUGGUCUCAGGAGCCGGUGCUGGAGAAGCCGGUGCUGAAGAAGCCAGUGCUGGAGAAGCCGGUGCUGGAGAAGCCGGUGCUGGAGAAGCCGGUGCUGGAGAAGCCGGUGCUGGAGAAGCUGGUGCCGGAGAAGCCGGUGCCGGAGAAGCCGGCGCUAGAGAGACCGGCGGUGGAUUCUGGAGAGCAUGGGUUAGGUGAUCAAGUUGCGCGGUCAGCUGCUGCACCUGCUCCUGCAAAGCAUGCAUAACUAAGCCCUGACUUUGAAGCUGCUCCUGUUGGUCUGCGCAGAGCCAUAGAGCUAAAAAGAGUCGCGACACUCCCAUUGGACUCCGUUGUACGCUGUUUGCCGCCCACUUCCGGGGUAUGCAGCCUCGCAUAGUUCCAAAAAGCCAUUCUAUGGCGUCGGACAUCAUUCACUUCCAUUGCUGACUCUCGAGUAACUUCUGAGCUCCAGCCAGCAUAAACACCAGUGCAUGCGUCGCUUGUCCUUGGUGGUCAGGCAGCGUGAUGUUGCCAAAUAGCCUCCCCGUUCCCAGAUGGAGCUCCACGCCUGGAGUAAUGGACAUUUCAUCUAAGCGUGCGGAUGUUAGGCAGUGGAAUUUGCAUUUUCUGGAGGGUUUUAUAACCGGUGGUGCCAGUGGUAAAUCUUAUUUUUAUAGCUUUUUUGUCUCCUUUCCCCACCGUAUUCCUCUCUUCUUUUCCUGUCCAAGGGCUGUCAUUUGGUCUCUGUUAAACAUUUGGGUGAACUUCUGAUUAACUAAAUUGUUCCUCUUUCUUAGCGCCAAAUUCAUUCUUUUUUGCUGUGCUAGAGCCCUCUCUGCUCUCCUUCUCAUUAACUUCUCCAUUUUAAGUUGCCUUAUUAGGUCCUCCACAAUUGCACUAUUAGACCCUGGCAGUCUGGUCCCUGGAGCACCUGGCCCUGGCAAAGUUGGUUCAUCGUUGCUGGCUCCUGACUGACUGGCCCUCGGCACACACAUCCCUGGAUCACCUGCCCCUUGUAAAGUAACCUCUUGGUCGCUCUCUCUGUCUCCUGUCAUGUCCCUUUCCUUGCCCUCAAAAUCCACCUCAAUUUCUCCCUCAACCUCUGUAACAAUAACAAGGUAAUGUUGCUGUUAUAUGUAUUUUGCAUUUGCACCUACUGUUAUCUUCAAUAAAAGGGUACACUACACUCCUAUAGAAAACAAAUUAAAGCGAAAAAUUACUGUAAUGUGAAUCAAAUCAUCUGCCACAAUCAGAAACCAAAAAAAUGUAUAAACUCAUCUACUGGCAAUGGUUAAUUUGGUAGAAAUUUUUAGAUUAUCUACAUUCUGUAUGCAAAUCCUCAGAGAAUCCCUGAAGCUGGAUGUACUAAUAUGAAUGUAAUGUCUCAUUAGGAGUGUAGUCUAUCCUUGAAUUACAUUAAAUGGGGAAUAUUUUUAGUGUCCAGGACUCAGAUGAAGAGGAUGUUAGUAUGCGUUGUUGAGAGGAACUGCCCUACAGUGACUGGCCAUAGUGCUUACUGGAACUCUACAGAUCUUGCUGGACCAGCAGUAUCGUUUUUGUGGCCAUCACAGGUUUCAGUGGAGCACCCC